UAUAGUGACAGUGUCUAUAUGGGUAGUAAAUCUGAGUAGGUUGAUGUGUGUUAUAUUGGAUGUGAUAUAGAGAGAGUGUCUAUAUGGGUAGUAAAUCUCAGUAGGUUGAUGUGUGUUAUAUUGGAUGUGAUAUAGUGACAGUGUCUAUAUGGGUAGUAGAUCUCAGUAGGUUGAUGUGUGUUAUAUUGGAUGUGAUAUAGUGACAGUGUCUAUAUGGGUAGUAAAUCUCAGUAGGUUGAUGUGUGUUAUAUUGGAUGUGAUAUAGUGAGAGUGUCUAUAUGGGUAGUAGAUCUCAGUAGGUUGAUGUGUGUUAUAUUGGAUGUGAUAUAGUGACAGUGUCUAUAUGGGUAGUAGAUCUCAGUAGGUUGAUGUGUGUUAUAUUGGAUGUGAUAUAGUGAGAGUGUCUAUAUGGGUAGUAGAUCUCAGUAGGUUGAUGUGUGUUAUAUUGGAUGUGAUAUAGUGAGAGUGUCUAUAUGGGUAGUAAAUCUCAGUAGGUUGAUGUGUGUUAUAUUGGAUGUGAUAUAGUGAGAGUGUCUAUAUGGGUAGUAGAUCUCAGUAGGUUGAUGUGUGUUAUAUUGGAUGUGAUAUAGUGAGAGUGUCUAUAUGGGUAGUAGAUCUCAGUAGGUUGAUGUGUGUUAUAUUGGAUGUGAUAUAGUGAGAGUGUCUAUAUGGGUAGUAGAUCUCAGUAGGUUGAUGUGUGUUAUAUUGGAUGUGAUAUAGUGACAGUGUCUAUAUGGGUAGUAGAUCUCAAUAGGUUGAUGUGUGUUAUAUUGGAUGUGAUAUAGUGAGUGUGUGUUAUAUGGGAUGUGAUAUAGUGAGAGUGUGUUAUAUUGGAUGUGAUAUAGUGAGAGUGUGUUAUAUUGGAUGUGAUAUAGUGAGUGUGUGUUAUAUUGGAUGUGAUAUAGUGAGUGUGUGUUAUAUUGGAUGUGAUAUAGUGAGAGUGUGUUAUAUUGGAUGUGAUAUAGUGAGAGUGUGUUAUAUUGGAUGUGAUAUAGUGAGAGUGUGUUAUAUUGGAUGUGAUAUAGUGAGAGUGUGUUAUAUUGGAUGUGAUAUAGUGAGAGUGUGUUAUAUUGGAUGUGAUAUAGAGAGUGUGUUAUAUUGGAUGUGAUAUAGUGAGUGUGUGUUAUAUUGGAUGUGAUAUAGUGAGAGUGUGUUAUAUUGGAUGUGAUUUAGUGAGAGUGUGUUAUAUUGGAUGUGAUAUAGUGACAGUGUCUAUAUGGGUAGUAGAUCUCAGUAGGUUGAUGUGUGUUAUAUUGGAUGUGAUAUAGUGAGUGUGUGUUAUAUUGGAUGUGAUAUAGUGACAGUGUGUUAUAUUGGAUGUGAUAUAGUGAGAGUGUGUUAUAUUGGAUGUGAUAUAGUGACAGUGUGUUAUAUUGGAUGUGAUAUAGUGAGUGUGUGUUAUAUUGGAUGUGAUAUAGUGACAGUGUAGUAGAUCUCAGUAGGUUGAUGUGUGUUAUAUUGGAUGUGAUAUAGUGAGAGUGUGUUAUAUUGGAUGUGAUAUAGUGAGAGUGUGUUAUAUUGGAUGUGAUAUAGUGACAGUGUGUUAUAUUGGAUGUGAUAUAGUGACAGUGUGUUAUAUUGGAUGUGAUAUAGUGACAGUGUGUUAUAUUGGAUGUGAUGUAGUGACAGUGUGUACUAUGUCUGUAUAAGAGUAAGACUAUAAUGUGUGAUGUCCAAAUAAAUAAUAACUCUGCCGAUAUGCAUGUUUGAGUGUCUAUGUGUAUAACAUGUAGUGCGUAUAGCCUUAAUAUUCAUGAUGAUAAUUGUAAUCCAUAUAGUAUCAGCAUCAUAGUUGCAUCAUAAUGACCUUUAACAUAAUUGAAAAACACAUCCCAGCAUUGCCAUAGCAACUGACGUUUCACAUGAUCAUGAAAGAGACCUUGCAUUACUAUGGAGACGGCUUCACUACAGUACAAAUGUAUUCCGUACAGUAUGUUAUUAUUCCCCAAUGCCCCUACUCUGAUAUCGUCCCCUUGCUUGUUGUAAACAUAUAUGAACUUGUAGACAAAUACAUAAAAAAGAUAGACAAACAAGAACCAUGUUAAAUUAUGAAACAGUUCUCCACAAUAGAGAAUAAAAAAUAGUGCAUAUAGCCUUAAUAUUAAAUUAUACACACACCUGAUCUCGCUCUCUUCAGUCACUCUCUCUCUCUUCUAUUUUUUAUUCUCUCCCUCUCUCUCUAUUGUCA